GGGAGUGAAAUAGAACCUGAAACCCUGCACUUACAAGCUGUGGAAGCACAUUUCUUGUGUGACCGCGUACUUUUUGUAGAACGGGCCAACGAGUUACGUUAAGUAGCAAGGUUAAGCACUUAAGGUGCGGAGCCGUAGCGAAAGCGAGUUUUAACUGAGCGUUCAGUUACUUGACGUAGACCCGAAACCGGGCGACCUACCCAUGAGCAGGAUGAAGCGAAAGUAAAAUUUCGUGGAGGUCCGCACCCACGGGCGUUGAAAAGCUCGGGGAUGACUUGUGGGUAGCGGUGAAAUUCCAAUCGAGCCCGGAGAUCGCUGGUUCCACCCGCAAUAGCUUUAUGGCUAGCCUCAAGGUGAGAGAUACGGAGGUAGAGCACUGAAUGUCCUAGGGGGUAUUGCACCUACCGAAGACUAUCAAACUCCGAAUGCCGUCAUCUUAUACUUGGGAGUCAGACUGUGGGUGAUAAGAUUCAUAGUCGAAAGGGCAACAGCCCAGAUCGUCAGCUAAGGUCCCUAAAUGUAAGUUAAGUGGUAAAGGAUGUGGGAUUGCACAGACAACCAGGAUGUUGGCUUAGAAGCAGCCACUCAUUCAAAGAGUGCGUAAUAGCUCACUGGUCGAGUGAUCCUGCGCCGAAGAUUUCCGGGGCUAAAACUUACUACCGAAGCUACGGCAUCAGUAAUGAUGGGUAGGGGAGCUUCCCAUACGGGUUGAAGCAUGACCGUAAGGACAUGUGGACAGUAUGGGAGUGAGAAUGUUGGCAUGAGUAGCGAGAUGUGGGUG
rnacentral:rRNA from 1 species